rnacentral:rRNA from 1 species
UACGGGGGGGGGCAAGCGUUGUUCGGAAUUACUGGGCGUAAAGGGCUCGUAGGUGGCCAACUAAGUCAGACGUGAAAUCCCUCAGCUUAACUGGGGAACUGCGUCUGAUACUGGAUGGCUUGAGUUUGGGAGAGGGAUGCGGAAUUCCAGGUGUAGCGGUGAAAUGCGCAGAUAUCAGGAGGAACACCAGUGGCGAAGGCGGCUCACUGGACCGGUAUUGACGCUGAGGUGCGACAGCGUGGGGAGCAAACAGG